AUCCAGUCUCUGAGUAGACCGGUCGCAGCUUAGAUACUGGGAUCGCCUCAGAACACAUUUCUUUGCCCUUCACGGCCACUACCGGUAUUGGGAUAUGCGAGUCUCAGGGCCAUUCGUUGCUCACAGGUCGAGCUGGUCUGGACUCCGUUCGACCACGAAUCAUGGCUCCUUCCUGCCAGUUACAUCCCCUCUGCACCCUUGCCCAGCCAUUUUACCAGGCCUCUCCACAUUGCCCUGCCCCACGGGCUUGUAAUCCUGCGGCAACAUUGACCCUUCUUUGGCUUGCAUCAGUCCAGCAUUAAGAUAGAAAUCAUCAUUUGACCACAUUACAGCUUCUUGGAUUUCAAUCAAACUUUUUUUUAUAUCGCAGUCCAUUUCCAUUAAAAAAAAAAAAAAAAACCAAACUCUCAAUUUCAGCCUCACCCUUGAUUAACAGAGUAACCUUUUGUAACUCUCCUUUUUGUAAGAUUUAGAAAAAUGAUACAUGGCUAACUUCCAAAGGUAAUUGAGUAUAUUGUGGUUUUAUCUUUUUAAAACCAAACAUUUUACAUACAUUUUCUAGUAUAUUCCAAAGCACAGUCACUUAUGAAUAGGAAAGUACACAGUCGAAACUAGCUUGCUGAACAUUAAAUGCCAAAAAAUAGUAUCCAUGUCAAGUUAUCAAUACUUAACUGUUAGACACUGUGCUAAAGACCCACGUGCAUUAUCUCUUUUAAUCUUUAAGAAGGUGGCCAGGCGCGGUGGCUCACGCCUGUAAUCCCAGAACUUUGGGAGGUCAAGGCGGACGGAUCACGAGGUCAGGAGAUCGAGGCCAUCCCGGUGCUAGCACGGUGAAACCCCAUCUCUACUAAAAAUACAAAAAAAAUUAGCGGGAGGCGUGGUGAGCCUGUAGUCCCAGCUACUUGGGAGGCUGAGGCAGGAGAAUGGCGUGAACCCGGGAGGCGGAGCUUGCAGUGAGCCAAGAUCGCACCACUGCACUCCAGCCUGGGCGACAGAGCGAGACUCUGAAAAAAAAAAAAAAAAAUUCUUUAAGAAAGCAUUUUUUUGUAAUUCCAGCAUUUUGGGAGGCCAAGGUGGGCGGAUCACGAGGUCAAGAGAUCAAGACCAUUCUGGCCAACAUGGUGAAACCCUGUCUCCACUAAAAAUACAAAAAUCAGCUGGGCAUAGUGGCCUGCGCCUGUAGUCCCAGCUACUGCUUCUCGGAGGCAGAGGCAGGAGAAUCGCCUGAAGGGGGGAGGUUGCAGUGAGCUGAGACCGCACCACUGCAGUCCAGCCUGGCAACAGAACAAGACUCCGUCUCAAAAAAACAAACAAAAAGAAAGCAUUUUUUUCUUGCCCCUAUUUUAGAGCGAAGGAAUCUGAAGCCCCAGGAGGUAAAGAAACUUGCCCAGGAGAUUGUACACCUAAGAUAAGGAGCCAGUAUUUGAGCCUUGGCAGUUUGAUUGUUAACCUCUAUAGGUUGUUGUCUUGAGCUUCAGAUUUAUAAUUUUGGGUUGGGCAUGGUGGCUCAGACGUGUAAUCCCAGCACUUUGGGAGGCCAAGGUGGGUGGAUCACUUGAGGUCAAGAGUUCGAGACUAGCCUGGCCAACAGGGCAAAACCCCAUCUCUAAUAAAAAUACAAAAUUCACUGGGCAUGGUGGCCUGUAAUCCCA
ensembl:lncRNA